rnacentral:rRNA from 1 species
AUUGAACGCUGGCGGCAUGCCUUACACAUGCAAGUCGAACGGCAGCAUGGAGAGCUUGCUCUCUGAUGGCGAGUGGCGAACGGGUGAGUAAUGCAUCGGAACGUACCGUGUAAUGGGGGAUAACGUAGCGAAAGUUACGCUAAUACCGCAUACGACAUGAGGGUGAAAGCAGGGGAUCGCAAGACCUUGCGUUAUACGAGCGGCCUAUGUCAGAGUAGCUAGUUGGUGAUGUAAAGGCUCACCAAGGCGACGAUCUGUAGCGGGUCUGAGAGGAUGAUCCGCCACACUGGGACUGAGACACGGCCCAGACUCCUACGGGAGGCAGCAGUGGGGAAUUUUGGACAAUGGGGGCAACCCUGAUCCAGCCAUGCCGCGUGAGUGAAGAAGGCCUUCGGGUUGUAAAGCUCUUUCGGCCGGGAAGAAAUCGCACAGGCUAAUACUCUGUGUGGAUGACGGUACCGGCAUAAGAAGCACCGGCUAACUACGUGCCAGCCGCCGCCGUAA